GAGUUUGAUCCUGGCUCAGGAUUAACGCUGGCGGCGUGCAUGAGACAUGCAAGUCGAACGGACGAUCAGGGCUUGCUCUGAUCGUGAGUGGCGGACGGCUGAGUAACGCGUAGGUGACCUGCCCAGAAGUGGGGAAUAACUGCCCGAAAGGGUGGCUAAUACCGCAUGUGGUCACACGUUCAUUCGUGUGAGCAAAGCCGCAAGGCGCUUCUGGAGGGGCCUGCGUUCGAUUAGCUCGUUGGUGAGGUAACGGCUCACCAAGGCGACGAUCGAUAGGUGGUCUGAGAGGACGAUCACCCAGACUGGGACUGAGACACGGCCCAGACUCCUACGGGAGGCAGCAGUCGGGAAUUUUGCUCAAUGGGGGAAACCCUGAAGCAGCAACGCCGCGUGAGGGAUGAAGGCCUUCGGGUUGUAAACCUCUUUUCUCAGGGACGAUAAUGACGGUACCUGAGGAAUAAGCCACGGCUAACUACGUGCCAGCAGCCGCGGUAAUACGUAGGUGGCAAGCGUUGUCCGGAUUUACUGGGCGUAAAGAGCGCGCAGGCGGUCGUUCAAGUCGAGUGUGAAAGCCCCCGGCUCAACUGGGGAGGGUCACGCGAUACUGAUCGACUCGAAGGCAGGAGAGGGAAGUGGAAUUCCCGGUGUAGUGGUGAAAUGCGUAGAUAUCGGGAGGAACACCAGUGGCGAAGGCGACUUCCUGGCCUGUUCUUGACGCUGAGGCGCGAAAGCUAGGGGAGCGAACGGGAUUAGAUACCCCGGUAGUCCUAGCUGUAAACGAUGAACACUAGGUGUUGGGGAAGCGAUUCCUUGGUGCCGGAUCUAACGCGUUAAGUACCCCGCCUGGGGAGUACGGUCACAAGGCUGAAACUCAAAGGAAUUGACGGGGGCCCGCACAAGCGGUGGAGCAUGUGGUUUAAUUCGAAGCAACGCGCAGAACCUUACCAGCUCUUGACAUCCCGGUCGCGGAUCGCAGAGAUGUGAUCUUAGUUCGGCUGGACCGGAGACAGGUGCUGCAUGGCUGUUGUCAGCUCGUGUCGUGAGAUGUUGGGUUAAGUCCCGCAACGAGCGCAACCCUCGUCCUCAGUUGCCAUCACGUUCGGGUGGGCACUCUGGGGGAAACUGCCGUGACAAGCCGGAGGAAGGCGGGGAUGACGUCAAGUCCUCAUGGCCCUUAUGGGCUGGGCUACACACGUGCUACAAUGGCGGUGACAGAGGGAUGCGAGGGGGCGACCCUGAGCCAAUCUCGAAACGCCGUCUCAGUUCGGAUUGCACUCUGCAACUCGAGUGCAUGAAGUUGGAAUCGCUAGUAAUCGCGGAUCAGCAUGCCGCGGUGAAUACGUUCCCGGGCCUUGUACACAC
rnacentral:rRNA from 1 species